GGCGGCGUGCUUAACACAUGCAAGUCGAACGCUGAAGCUUGGUGCUUGCACUGGGUGGAUGAGUGGCGAACGGGUGAGUAAUACGUGAGUAACCUGCCCUUGACUCUGGGAUAAGCCUGGGAAACUGGGUCUAAUACUGGAUACGACAUGUCACCGCAUGGUGGUGUGUGGAAAGGGUUUUACUGGUUUUGGAUGGGCUCACGGCCUAUCAGCUUGUUGGUGGGGUAAUGGCUCACCAAGGCGACGACGGGUAGCCGGCCUGAGAGGGUGACCGGCCACACUGGGACUGAGACACGGCCCAGACUCCUACGGGAGGCAGCAGUGGGGAAUAUUGCACAAUGGGCGAAAGCCUGAUGCAGCGACGCCGCGUGAGGGAUGACGGCCUUCGGGUUGUAAACCUCUUUCAGCACGGAAGAAGCGAAAGUGACGGUACGUGCAGAAGAAGCGCCGGCUAACUACGUGCCAGCAGCCGCGGUAAUACGUAGGGCGCAAGCGUUGUCCGGAAUUAUUGGGCGUAAAGAGCUCGUAGGCGGUUUGUCGCGUCUGCUGUGAAAGCCCGGGGCUUAACCCCGGGUGUGCAGUGGGUACGGGCAGACUUGAGUGCAGUAGGGGAGACUGGAAUUCCUGGUGUAGCGGUGAAAUGCGCAGAUAUCAGGAGGAACACCGAUGGCGAAGGCAGGUCUCUGGGCUGUUACUGACGCUGAGGAGCGAAAGCAUGGGGAGCGAACAGGAUUA
rnacentral:rRNA from 1 species